UCCCGCUCGCGUUCCACCACCCAGUUCCACUCGGACUUCGGACACGUGAAUUGUGCCAAGCUUUCAAGGAGGGAAAGUUUUUGUUUGUUUGGUGUGCUCAUUGUAUGGAGCGAGAGAAGAGUAUAAAACACGGAGAGAGCCCUGUGGAGCCAACAAGCAGCUGCAGGGAUGAGCAUGGCUUUGUGCCAAUGGUUGGCCGUUGGGGAA